GUCGGUUUAAAACCGACAUUAAACGACCCCCUUUUGAAAACCGACAUUAAAGCCCCUUUGUAAUUUCUUUUUUAUUUUUUUUAAUUUGGUAAAAAAUCAAGUUUCCUCUCUCUAUAUAAAUUCUCCUCCUCUCUUCUUUUUCCUCUUUAGUCGUCGCCUUUUCCCCUUUCCAUCAAAACCCUAAACCUUUUCCCCUUUCCAUCAAAACCCUAAAGGUAUUCCAUCCAAUUCGACGAAAUUUUGGUGUUUGUCCGUCGUUGAGAAAUGUCUUUCAACAUCAACCGGUUCAAUCCUCAAUCAGCCGUCGAGAAAGCGGUUUCAGUUAUCGGCUUCGGCUACGAUCUCUGUAACGAUUUGCGAUUGUCUUCUUGCAAGCCGGGUCCAUCGGGGUCUAAGCUGAUACUUCAUUCGAAGUAGAGACCUUGUACUUCCGGCUGGCGUUGUCGUCCCUAAUGUUCCUACUUCCAUCAACUGUGAUAAAGGCGAGCGUACCCGAUUCCGGUCGGAUGUCAUCUCCUUCAAUCAGAUAUGUGAGGUGCAAAGGCUUUUAGGACCCUUGUCGGGCAAAUCAUCAAUUUACUGUUCGGAUCCAUCCGUUUUGAGAUAUCUAAGAGCAAGAAACUGGAAUGUGAAGAAGGCAACUAAAAUGUUGAAAGCAACUUUGAAGUGGAGGACAGAAUACAACUUUGGUUGAAAGCUAAGCGAUUGUGUAGAAAUGGUCAAGCGACCGUUGAAAAUUGAAGACUGAGAAGGCAUUUAGGAUUUUUAAUUAUUUAAUUCUUGUAUUAGAAUCUUUUUUCAUGUACUAUUGUAGAAUUGUAUAUAUAAACAUAAUAUUAAUAUUUUAUUUUGUGUAUUCAAAUGUAAAAGACAAAUGUUAUAGUUUCUAACAUAAUAUGAAUUUCAUUGA